CAGGAAAAGUAGUUAUCAUCUAUAAUAUAGGAGUUGGUAUCUCGAGGUAGUAUAAGGAGGAUGGGAGAGGGGAAGAAAAUGCCAGACUGUGAGAGUUGUGAGCUGGGGUAAGCUUGGUGCUACCUCUUUUCUUUUGUUUGUUAUUUUCUUUGAAUAAGAGGAUUGAAAGUUUCUGAAUAUUGUGAAGUGAAUUAUGGAAAUGUGAUUGGUAUUAUUUGAGAAGAAGAAAGAUUGAAUGCUGAAAUCUGAUUGUAGUUCAGCUGAGAGAAUGAGCCUAUGUUUGUGUGAAACACUGUAAUGUGAAUGGCAGCUCUGUGUGAAGAAUUCCAGAGAUUGGAACGAGGGUAAUUGUGUACUGAAAGCUGUGAGGGCACAGUAUUACA
rnacentral:lncRNA from 1 species